UUGUAGAAGAAUCAUCCGUCCUCUUUGCUGGCUAAGAACACGGAUCACUCUUCAUCAGUUUGCCUUCAGCUUGCCCCAUCACUUCAUCUCCAUCAUGAAGUUGUCGGCUGUGUUCCUGAUGGUUUUCUCCAUGAUGGCUCUGACCAGUGGUUCCGAGAACCGUUUUUGCAAUUUUAAAAGUUUCUGAGUAGAAAUGAGAACAUAAGACGUCGAGGACAGACAGCUUUACCUCUCCUCCUGUCUCUGUAUAUGAGUCCCAGUAGGAUGGUGGA